CGCUGGCGGCGUGCUUAACACAUGCAAGUCGAACGAUGAAGCCCUUCGGGGUGGAUUAGUGGCGAACGGGUGAGUAACACGUGGGCAAUCUGCCCUUCACUCUGGGACAAGCCCUGGAAACGGGGUCUAAUACCGGAUACCACUCCUGCCUGCAUGGGCGGGGGUUGAAAGCUCCGGCGGUGAAGGAUGAGCCCGCGGCCUAUCAGCUUGUUGGUGGGGUAAUGGCCCACCAAGGCGACGACGGGUAGCCGGCCUGAGAGGGCGACCGGCCGCACUGGGACUGAGACACGGCCCAGACUCCUACGGGAGGCAGCAGUGGGGAAUAUUGCACAAUGGGCGAAAGCCUGAUGCAGCGACGCCGCGUGAGGGAUGACGGCCUUCGGGUUGUAAACCUCUUUCAGCAGGGAAGAAGCGAAAGUGACGGUACCUGCAGAAGAAGCGCCGGCU
rnacentral:rRNA from 1 species